AACGAACGCUGGCGGCAGGCUUAACACAUGCAAGUCGAACGGGUGUAGCAAUACAUCAGUGGCAGACGGGUGAGUAACACGUGGGAACCUUCCUAGGGGUACGGAACAACUCAGGGAAACUUGAGCUAAUACCGUAUACGUCCGUGAGGAGAAAGAUUUAUCGCCCUUAGACGGGCCCGCGUCGGAUUAGCUAGUUGGUGGGGUAACGGCCUACCAAGGCGACGAUCCGUAGCCGAUGGUAGAGGAUGAUCAGCCACACUGGGACUGAGACACGGCCCAGACUCCGACGGGAGGCAGCAGUGGGGAAUCUUGGACAAUGGGCGCAAGCCUGAUCCAGCCAUGCCGCGUGAGUGAAGAAGGGCUUCGGAUUGUAAAGCUCUUUUGCCAGGGACGAUAAUGACGGUACCUGGAGAAUAAGCCCCGGCAAACUUCGUGCCAGCCGCCGCCGUAA
rnacentral:rRNA from 1 species